AUUGAACGCUGGCGGCAGGCCUAACACAUGCAAGUCGAACGGUAGCACAGAGAGCUUGCUCUCGGGUGACGAGUGGCGGACGGGUGAGUAACGUCUGGGAAACUGCCCGAUGGAGGGGGAUAACUACUGGAAACGGUAGCUAAUACCGCAUAGCGUCGCAAGACCAAAGUGGGGGACCUUCGGGCCUCAUGCCAUCAGAUGUGCCCAGAUGGGAUUAGCUAGUAGGUGGGGUAACGGCUCACCUAGGCGACGAUCCCUAGCUGGUCUGAGAGGAUGACCAGCCACACUGGAACUGAGACACGGUCCAGACUCCUACGGGAGGCAGCAGUGGGGAAUAUUGCACAAUGGGCGCAAGCCUGAUGCAGCCAUGCCGCGUGUGUGAAGAAGGCCUUCGGGUUGUAAAGCACUUUCAGCGGGGAGGAAGGCGGUGAGGUUAAUAACCUCACCGAUUGACGUUACCCGCAGAAGAAGCACCGGCUAACUCCGUGCCAGCCGCCGCUGUAA
rnacentral:rRNA from 1 species